GAGAGUUAAACAGUACGUGAAAUUGUUGAAAGGGAAACGAUUGAGGCCAGUCAUGCCUGCGAGAAAUCAAUCAUUUAAUCAGAUUUUCGAAUUUGAUUUUGUGGUGCACUUUUUCGCGUGGCAGGUUAGCAUCAACUUUGAUUGUUGUAAAAUGGUGGUCGGAAUGUGACUCUGUUUUUUCAGAGUGUUAUAGCCGAUUACAGAUGCAAUGAUUGUGGUUGAGGUUUGCGGCAAAUGCCUUUGGGCUUACUUACCUUCCUUCUGUUUUGUUCACUUUGGAAUGACAGCUUGCUGACAUUGUUAAAGGGCGGACAAUCAAUAGGGUAGAGUUGGGAUAAAUUUGCCAAGGAUGCUGACGUAAUGACCUUAAACGA
rnacentral:rRNA from 1 species